UUGGCCGUCCGCGAUUUACGAAAUUCUCUCCGCCACCUUCGCUUCACUUGUGUCUACCUGCGCGCGGAAAUCGCGAGAUGUCACGGUGUGGCGUCAUGGCGUCAUGGGCGUCAAGCGGAUCGUAUAGUUUCGUUCGUAGUUUCUUCGACCGCGACGUAAUUAGUUACCGCGUCGCGAGAUUAAUACCGGGAGUGCCGUGUGCCUUUAGUGUCGCGCGAUCAUAAGAGGAGACGAUAUCGACGAUAUCGUCGAUUUUCGCUCGUGAACGUCGUCGCGUUGUGAGUGAGUGCGACAAUGGACCAACGGAGUAACGGAGGACGAUCUAGGAGAGGAGAACGGGGCCUGGGAGGCAUCGGGCGACGGCGGAGCGACCGUGGGAUCAACGCAGAAUUACAACUCCGCUGUUGCGCAUCGGCCGCUUAAUGCUAAGGUAGCACCGCCACGAUUUUCUCCGAAAUGGCACGGGAUACAAAAUUGUUAUUAGUGGUACAAAUUAGUACAAAAUGGGUACUAAAUAUUCUGAUAGGUCCGGUUUGAUUCUGCCGAUUUGGUCCUGCUAGCU